GAAAAGAGGAAGCAGGUGGUGGGUUUUAGAUUUCAAUUGAAGUGCAGGACAAUUCACUGACCUGUGAGAAUGUUUUAGCACUUUUUAUGAGCCUGAGAAUUCUUGCAGUUUACAUUUGCUGUUCUUACACCUUGUGGGCAUCACUGGUGACAGUGUCCUGCUGUGCUGUGUCCUCCUGUGGUCUUGUUUACCAUUUUCCUGGCGUGUGUGCGCAUACACUGUUUGAAAUCUGUGGACACUGGUUGUGGAUUCAGCACCCAGGCAAAAAUCUCAUCGACAGAGGUCACAGAAUUUGGUUUCCAGGGUUUAAAUGGACAUUUCCAAAUGAUGUGUGUUCUAAAGCCUUCAUCCUUCUUAUUGUAUGGCAAAGGCACAUUACUGUCAAGUGUACAAGAAGGAAAAUGGCACAGGGGCUUGUGAGAUCAGAGGGAAGAUUUAAAAAACAGAUAAAGACAGAAAGAUCAUCACCCCAAAACUCCACUAAUUUUGUGGAAGUGAAAUUUUAGCAAAGAUGAGAUUUACCCUGACACAAAGAAAAAAACAGGGAACUUCACUCCUGUGAAGAUGCUUACGCAAUACCUUGAAGAACAAAGGAAAAUUGGUGCUGCUUUUAGUGGAGUGUUUGUGGAAAUACUACAUGUGGGAAAUGGAACAAGAAUGUUCAGCUGGGGCUCCGCUCUUCAAAAUAAAACUGGACUGAAAAAUGACACUAGUUGAAGAAUAUACCAAGAUCACUGAAGCAAUUACUCCCACGUAAUUCUCUUAUAUUUGUUUAUUCUACCACAGGGACAAUGGAUUUAGUUUUGGAAAGCACCAGAGUAGUUUUUCACCACCUUUAAAUUAGGAACAGGCAAUCUAUUUUGUUAAAGGCUACACAGUCUCAACUUCAAGCUCAGCUUAACUGAGCACUUUUUUGUAGGAGUUCACAAUUUGUUGUCAGGCUCUGGUACCUUUGCUAUAGCUGGUUCUUCUUCCUGAGAUGAUUUCCACCAAAGUGUGCCUUUUGGUUACACAGCUGUAAAAUGAUCACAUUUUGCUAGAUGUUUUCUUGACUUACAAGAGGUGGUAAAUUCUCAUUAUAACUACAGUGUUCUAGCAUAAAUUGUAGGUUAUAAAACAAAAAUUUCAUCUAGUAACAAAGAAAUAAUAAAAUCUUUCAGACAGAGCAAUUUCUUAUACAUUUUUAUACGGUUUAAAUAACUGAUCUUCAGAAAGGAAAUCUGAUCCUUCAUGAAUUGCUCAAGAGAUAAGGAGUGCCCUGAAGUAGUGCCUGGCUAAGUGACAAUGGGACCAAUCACUAAAUGCAAUUGAGAAUUUCCAUAUGCAAGUAAUUGUACUGAAACAAGAAAGGAAGUUUCCAAGAGAUUUCUGUUUCUAACACUAAAGGUAUAAAUAUAUAGAUGGCAGCUUUGUUUGUGUUGUGAAGGUUAUUCAAAGUGCUGACUUUUGCCCUAUCCCUUUUCUCACAAUGGUUUAGCUAGUGGUAAUUUUUCCAGUGAUUUAAACAGAUCUACGAGUGUGGGUAGUACUGCUGGAAUUUAUAUUACUAAAUGUGGUUGCUCCCAAGACAGAGAAUAAAACUUGAGUUAGUGACCUGAGAUUGCUGAAACAUGGGACUCAGUCAAUAAUCAGUGGAGACUAAGUCAAUAUAAUUAGUGGAGGCCAAGACAUGCUAUGUUUUACCCUAAAAUAAACAUCUUUAGUUGAAAAAUUGAACACUGUCCUAGAUCCACUUACUAUAAAAUAAACCUUCAGUUACUACCUCUGCUUUUUAACCCCUCAUUAUUAAUAAAAAAUAAGGUGAUCAUAAAUCCUGCCUCAGGUUUCAAACUUCACCCAUUGAAAUUAUCAUAUCAAUUAUUUAUAUAUUUACAUUGAAGUCAUGUGUGUCAUUUGCAUAGUGAAACUCAACAGAUUUUAAAGUGGUUGAACUCCUGUGAUACCUUCCAGAGUGUGACAGUUUCAUAGUUUCAUGCUUUAUUUUUUCUUUUUUUUUUUUUUUAGAAAUAACUCUCAAUUAUUUAUUUAUUUAUUUACAGCAAUUAUCAAAAGGUUUUUAAAUCACAGUAAUAUUGUUUUUAAAUUCUCCUGUAAAUACACUUAUUUUUCAUUUAAAAAAAUAACAAAAUUUAACAGGCAGAUUCCCAGCUGGUGUUACUAGCAACUCUUUAUUAAUUUCAUAAGAAUAUGCUCAAGUGACACCAGUGAUUGUGAAGGAAAGAAACUAAGGAUGGCAGUCUUACAUAAGUACACACUGUUAUACCACAGGGGCUGCUCUAAAUGUAAUGCCUCCUAUUUUGAUAUGUUGGUCCACAAUGUCAGAGGAAAUUGUUGGUGGUAUGGCAAUAAAGGUUGAACCUUCCCGCCAGUAUUUUGUUGCCUUGUGACAGAUGGCAGCAGAAGAGCAGUCUGACAAAAAGAUAUCUGACAUGGAAGUGCAUAUGAAGCAAAGGUGUGCCAUUGCAUUUCUCCAUGUGGAAAAAUGGCAGCCACUGACAUUAAUUGUUACUUACUGAACGUCUAGAGAGACCAGACAGUGGAUGGGAGAACAGUGAGGUGAUUUGUUGUAUAUUUCAGCAGUGGUUACAGUGACAUGAAGACAAACCAUGUUCUGGACAGCCAUGCACAGCUGUCACACCACAAAAUGAAGAGUGUCUCAAUCAGCUCAUCCAUGCAAGUUGGCAGAUUAUGAUCAGAGAACUAUGUGCAUAGCUUCAGUAUGUUGGAAAUGACGGUGAUGACGCUGGCAUAUUACAAAUUUUGCACCAAGUGGGUCAUGGAAAUGCUCACACAGGAAAAGAAAGAACACCAUAUUCAAGUCUGUCAGGAACUAUGGCACUGAUAGCAGGCUGAAGGUGACAGUUUCCUGGAUCUCAUCGUUACUGGGGACAAGAUAUGGUGUCACAACUGCGAGCUGGAGUAAAAAUGGCAGUGUAUGGAGUGGUGACAUGUGAAUUCCCCCCAGGAGAAAGACACAGCCCUCCAUGUCUAACAAGAUGUUCAGUGUCUGUUGGAAUAGGAAAGGGGUGAUCUUUAUGGAUUUCCUGGAAACCAGACAGACCAUCAGCUCUGACCGCUACAUUGCAGUGCUGACUAAGGUGAAAGCUUGAACUUUCAGACAGGCCAGAGAAGAACAUAAUCUUCCUCUUGCAACAGACAAUGCUAGGCCACAGUUUGAAGACUAGGGAGUACACAGGACUGGACGGUCCCACCGCACCCUCUGUAUUGUCCAGAUUUGGUGCCUUCAGACUUCCCUCUGUUCAGGCCAAUGAAGGAUGGACUGUGUGGGCAACUUUAUCCUAGCAACAAUACCACCAUAGCAGCUGUGAAGCAGUGGAUCUCCUCUGCUGGUGCAGAUUUUUAUGAGUGUAAUAUGAAGGCUCUUGUUCAUCACUCCUGAGAAUGCAGAGCUAAUGGUGGUGAUUACACUAGUUUUCUGUAAUUGAGAAUGAGUGUUAUUGUAUUCUUUGUCUCUGCUGUAUUUUCCAUGGAAAUAAACUGGAGGUAUAACUUUCUGAGAGACUUGUGGAACCUGCAAAUUCGUUAACUACAUUACAAUUUUCCAUUUGUACUUAGCCUAAGACAACAAAAACACUUCAAAAUCUUCAAGUGACUAAGUUAUAAGAAUACAUCUUACUUACAGAUAGAUUCCUUAUAGAUAGUUAAAUAGGCUUACUUACAUACAUCUGUUAAUCUCAGAUUUGCUCAGAAAUGGCACACAUACUCCUUCUGUGAAGUCAUUAGCACUUUUUAAACUUAAUUAGGCAGGACAGAAUAUUUCAUUUUGUAGGCUCCUAUGAUUUUUGCAUCUUUAUGGAAAUGCUGUAAAUUUUCAGUGCAAAAAUUAAUCUUUUCCAAAUUGGUUGUUUGAGUUCAUUUUCCUCACUUUACAGGCAGAAAUAAGUGGUCUGCAAAAAGAAGGGUUGAACUGUGAUUCUUACUUGAGAUUGAUUGGAGGAUGCUUGCUUUCUGUAAAACCUGCAGAUGUGGAUGCAUCUCAACCAGGAACUCAGAAGAAAUUAGGCAGCCUUUCUACAUUGCUUUUUCUUUCUUAAUUUCAUAGCCAUUUUGUAAUUCAAGACAAAACAAAAUGAUGGUAAAUUGCUGUGCUCUUAUUUUUUCAUUUUGUACUUUUUUUUUUUUCCCCCAGAGCAAUGGCUUGAUGUUGCCCAGAAUGUCAUACAUGCAUACAUACAUGCAUGUGUAGUUUUUAAUUACUCUUCCUGUAAAAGUUAAAGCACACAGAAUCCUAACAUAUCAG
ensembl:lncRNA